AUUCCUACGGGAGGCAGCAGCUAGGAAUCUUGGGAAUGGGCGAAAGCCUGACCCAGCAACGCCGCGUGGGCGAUGAAGGCCUUCGGGUCGUAAAGCCCUUUUGAGGGGGACGAUGAUGACGGUACCCCUCGAAUAAGCCACGGCUAACUACGUGCCAGCAGCCGCGGUAAUAAU
rnacentral:rRNA from 1 species